rnacentral:rRNA from 1 species
UGAGCAACCUGCCCUUCACUUUGGGAUAACCCUCGGAAACGGGGCUAAUACCGGAUAGGACUGCUGGCCGCAUGGUUGGUGGUGGAAAGUUUUUCGGUGGGGGAUGGGCUCGCGGCCUAUCAGCUUGUUGGUGGGGUGAUGGCCUACCAAGGCGACGACGGGUAGCCGGCCUGAGAGGGUGACCGGCCACACUGGGACUGAGACACGGCCCAGACUCCUACGGGAGCA